CCGGGCCUUGUACACACCGCCCGUCACACCAUGAGAGUUGGUAACACCCGAAGUCCGUGAGGUAACCGUAAGGAGCCAGCGGCCGAAGGUGGGAUCGAUGAUUGGGGUGAAGUCGUAACAAGGUAGCCGUAGGAGAACCUGCGGCUGGAUCACCUCCUUUCUAGGGAG
rnacentral:rRNA from 1 species